CAGCAGCCGCGGUAAUUCCAGCUCCAAGAGCGUAUAUUAAAGUUGUUGCAGUUAAAAAGCUCGUAGUUGGAUUUCUGGUACAACGCGCCUGGCCCGCUUUUGUGAGUGCCGGAGCACGUUUGCCAUCCUUCUAGAAAACGUUUCUACCCGGGCAACUGGGCCGGACUCGCGAUCUAGAUCUUUUACUUUGAAAAAAUUAGAGUGUUUAAAGCAGGCUUUUGCUGUGAAUACGUUAGCAUGGAAUAAUAAUCUAGGACUUCGGUUCUAUUUUGUUGGUUUCUAGUACUGAAGUAAUGAUUGAUAGGGAUAGUUGGGGGUGCUAGUAUUGGCCGGCCAGAGGUGAAAUUCUUGGAUUCGGUCAAGACUAACUUAUGCGAAAGCAUUCACCAAGGAUGUCUUCUUUAAUCAAGAACGAAAGUUGGGGGAUCGAAGACGAUCAGAUACCGUCGUAGUCUCAACCAUAAACUAUGCCAACUAGGGAUGGGUGAACGUUGUUUUUUUGACUUCAUCUGCACCUUAUGAGAAAUCAAAGUCUUUGGGUUCCGGGGGGAGUAUGGUCGCAAGGCUGAAACUUAAAGGAAUUGACGGAAGGGCACCACCAGGAGUGGAGCCUGCGGCUUAAUUUGACUCAACACGGGAAAACUUACCAGGUCCGGACAUAGUGAGGAUUGACAGAUUGAAGAUCUUUCUUGAUUCUAUGGGUGGUGGUGCAUGGGCCGUUCUUAGUUGGUGGAGUGAUUUGUCUGGUUAAUUCCGUUAGCGAACGAGACCUCGACCUGCUAAAUAGUUCGACUUAUUUUUCGGAAUAUGUACGUGACUUCUUAGAGGGACUAUCGGUGGUUAGCCGAUGGAAGUUCGAGGCAAUAACAGGUCUGU
rnacentral:rRNA from 1 species